AAACUAAGCAGAAAUCUCGUUUGUGUAAUGAAGGCAACGUCGGGUCGAGCCCCCCUUCUUCGGAUGCUUGACGACUGUCGAGUCUUGAGUUGUCAGCGCAGGUGGCAUCUCAUCAAAGACGACAGAAAGCAAAACGAAGAACUGAAGAGGGUUGAAUUCGCACCCACCUUUGAGCGUGACCAAAUCGUCAAAGGCGUUGAAAGUGGCACCUACGCCGGGAGCUCAACAACUGGCGAUGAGCCGAUGGAGCCACUGUCGAGAGGUCUGAUGAACACGAUGGAGGAAACACCGUAUCGCGUCAGUUGGUAUGACUUUCAAACUGUGAGUCCUGCAAAGCGGUUUACCUACUGGGUAUACCGUCGCUUGCGAGAUCUGCCACCUGAGUGGCAAGAGUACUAUCGCAGUAUGGUGUAUCAAGAAAUCAGCGCUAGCCGUUACGUAAACCAAACGUGGGAUUGCUUUAUGAUGGUUGUUGAUGGGUAUCGCAAAGCGAAAUGGGUACUUCGAAAGUACGGUGUCAAGGUCGACGAGAGCCUUAUACCGAGACCGUACAACAAUUUCUGGGAAGAAACCACACACGAGGAGCGUGUCUGGGCUCAUCGGCGCUCUCAUCAAAUGAAAGAACUACAGGCGCUGCAGCGCGACGAUGAUGAAGCAAUCUUCGGGGCGAGCAUGAUGAAUCGGAACGAAGUUUCUUAUACGUCAAUCAAAAACCUUCAGACCGGAAUGCAAGGUGGAACGCCUCUUCACGCUCACGACCUACCUGCUCCAAAAGAAUCAGAAUUGAGAAUGUCGCGUCAGGAUGAGGAAAUGAGUAGUGCUCUCAUGUCGAGCAUCGAAGAUGACAAGUUGUGGAACCCAGUGCUGCGAUCUCGAUUGCACACACAGCGCCAACGAGCAGAGGCGGAACUUUACGGCUUCGAGGAUGAAGAUGAUGACGGGACUGCUGCUGAAAUUCAGCGAAAGUGAGCACAACGGGCUUAUUCUUUUUUGCUAAGUCAAUAUGUAUUUUUUUUUUUGCGUCCAUGCAACGAGGGAAGGAAAAAAGGGAACGCUUUUUCGGCAACAAGCACCGCAGCCUGUGAUGCUGCGCGUCUCCAUGAGGUGGUAAAAAGAACAAGCAAUGACGCUUUUUCGCCUGAUCUAGUUCAGCUCUUGCGCACGCCGACGUGGCAGGUAAAAAGUCGACCCUCUUUGCGAUCUCAAAAAAUGUAGCUUUCCUGUCUCUUCUCCUUCCUCUUGCGGUUGAUCGCGCUUUUUAUGUGCAG
rnacentral:misc_RNA from 1 species